rnacentral:rRNA from 1 species
UACAGAGGUGGCAAGCGUUGUUCGGAAUUACUGGGCGUAAAGGGCGCGUAGGCGGUUCGUUAAGUCCUGUGUGAAAUCCCCCGGCUCAACUGGGGAACUGCACAGGAAACUAGCGGGCUUGAGUUCGGGAGAGGGGUGCGGAAUUCCGGGUGUAGUGGUGAAAUGCGUAGAGAUCCGGAGGAACACCAGAGGCGAAGGCGGCACCCUGGCCUAAUACUGACACUGAGACGCGAAAGCAUGGGGAGCGAACGGG